ensembl:lncRNA
CUUUUUCUGUGGCUAAACACACAGCUUCUAAUUUGUAAAAUCACUAACAUUUUCUCAGUAUACUUUAGCGUGUCUAUUUGACACCAGAGAAAGGCAUUAAAACGGGUACUUAUGCGGGACUUAUACAUAGUUUGAGUGUCUUUUUCUAAUCCUCUCUCACCUUCCUCCUCAUCCUUAUCUUUCGCAGCCUGAUGAUAAAACUUUUGUUAUAUCCAUUGCAGCAUUCCUCAGUCUCACAUCACACCUCAGUGACUUCACUGUUGGUAAAAUAUGUCACCAGCAUUUAGAGGAUUGUGACAUUGAGCCCAUCCGUUGCUUCAAAUAUCAACAAAUGACUUCAACCAACCGCUGGAAAAAUAGUCAGUGCGUGGCACAAAAGAUAAGUCACCUUUUACUCACACACCUCUCCUGUUUGUUGCAGUGUUGAAAUGUAUCUGACGCAGAUGUUUGUGCAGUUUAGCUGCAGGUUACUUGUGCUUUGAGGGCCCAAGCUCCCCUCUGAGAUCGAUAAGGCUCCUCUAUCCUUCACAAUCUAGGCUGUGGCAACUGCUGCAAGGUUUUGAGAUGUCGCCACUGAUUGUAUAACUCAGGCUUGCAAAACUGUCAAUACGCCCAUACUGUCACACUUGCAUGUAAGAUUUUCUUUAAAAAAAAAAAAAAAAGACUAAGAACAGAAGAGAAAGAAAAAAAAAAGCAGCUCUUAGCAUUAAAUACCCUCCGCACCUAACGAAACCGAAAGUAAUGCCGGACCGCUCAAGGCACAGCUGCACACACGAGCACAUGCAGGAACACCCACAGAGAGACAGAGACAGGGAGAGACAGUAAAACAAUCACACCUUUAUGUCCAAAAAUGAAAUCUCAAGAGAUUAAAAUCUGCCUCCAAGACCACGCAAAUGGCACUUUUCUCUCUGUGAGUGCGCUCGUUGGCAUGACCAUUAAUAGCCCUUAAAACCCUACAACAGCCACACACCGAAGUAUUUAACUCUAAAUGCAAAUCAAAACCAAUUUUACAUUUUAAUCUUAAAAUAAAGUUUCAGUCCUCAGAGAUGAAAAUCUGCCAGAAAGUCAGCGUUUUCACUUUUCACAAAUGACCUCACUCCCAGACUAUCAAUUUGGUCCUCACCACGUAGGCUACAAUAUUACGCAGGUACACACAUACCUCCAAAGUCCCUUUGCCUCGCACUCCCAGGGUGAGAAAUCCUUUUCAAAUGCGACGGUUGUAGUGAGCCUUUGUUAAAUGCGAAGAAAAGCUGAACGAUAGAAAUCCGGUCUUAAUCUUGUCAGUGAAGGAAGUCCACUACUGGAUUUGUCCAUCCACGGAGUCCUGGUGCGCUGUCUCAGUGUGCCGCCAAGUGCGCCACAGGCUGCCGUUCCUUCGGUCAAUUCCAGUCACCACAUAAAUAGCUGCCAAACCUUC